GCCUUCGUGGUGUAGUGGUCAGCACACUGAUCUGGUAUUUCAGAGGUCCGUGGUUCGAUCCCCGGCGAAGGCA
rfam:Stegodyphus mimosarum contig36292, whole genome shotgun sequence.